rnacentral:rRNA from 1 species
GAUGAACGCUGGCGGCGUGCCUAAUACAUGCAAGUCGAGCGAACGGACGAGAAGUUUGCUCCCCUGAUGUUAUCGGGGGAGGGGUGAGUAACACGUGGUUAACCUACCUAUAAGACUGGGAUAACUUUGGGAAACCGUAUCUAAUACCGGAAGAUAUUUCGAACUGCAUGGUGCAAAAGUUAAAUACGGUCGUGCUUACAGUUAUAGAUGGAUCCGGGCUGCAUUAGUUAGUUGGUAAGGUAACGGCUUACCAAGGCAACGAUGCAUAGCCGACCUGAGAGGGUCAUCCCACACACUGGCACAGAGACACGGCCCAGACUCCUACAGGGGGCAGCGGCAGGGACUCUUCCGCGAUGGGCCAGUGCCUGACAGAGCACCGCCGCGUGAAUGAUGAUGGUCUUCGGAUCCUAGAGCUCUGUUGUUAGUAAAGAACAUAUGUGUAAUUAACUGUGAUCAUCAUGACGGUACCUAGUCAGAAAGCCACGGCUAACUACGUG